rnacentral:rRNA from 1 species
AGUGAACGCUGGCGGUAGGCCUAACACAUGCAAGUCGAACGGCAGCACAGUAAGAGCUUGCUCUUACGGGUGGCGAGUGGCGGACGGGUGAGGAAUACAUCGGAAUCUACUUUUUCGUGGGGGAUAACGUAGGGAAACUUACGCUAAUACCGCAUACGACCUACGGGUGAAAGCAGGGGAUCUUCGGACCUUGCGCGAUUGAAUGAGCCGAUGUCGGAUUAGCUAGUUGGCGGGGUAAAGGCCCACCAAGGCGACGAUCCGUAGCUGGUCUGAGAGGAUGAUCAGCCACACUGGAACUGAGACACGGUCCAGACUCCUACGGGAGGCAGCAGUGGGGAAUAUUGGACAAUGGGCGCAAGCCUGAUCCAGCCAUACCGCGUGGGUGAAGAAGGCCUUCGGGUUGUAAAGCCCUUUUGUUGGGAAAGAAAAGCAGCAGGUUAAUACCCCGCUGUUCUGACGGUACCCGAAGAAUAAGCACCGGCCAACUUCGUG